CCUGGGACUUGCGUCCCAGGCUAACGCAUGACGUCGCGUUGCGACU
rnacentral:sRNA from 1 species